UUGGAGAGACAGAUUAAAGGUUAAAGUCUGCAAGCUGAAAAAUCACAAGGUUAAAAACAAGGUUAUGAGGGCUAACAGGAUUAACAAGUUAGCAUUUUUCAUCCAACUAUGAGUUAAGAUACACUCGUGCUUUACUUAAAGUUAUCUAGUUAUUAUGGGUAACAGUUAGAAUAAUGUUUAGGCUAUUUAUGAUUUCCUACACUAGUUAGUGUUGUUUAGCUUUUAAGUUAGAGUAAUCAUCAGCAAAUAUCAAUAACAGACAUCAUUUUCUGUAAAAAGUGGUUAAUUUCAGUAGACACACACAAAAAAAAAAAACCCACAAGAAAACUCAAUUACUUGAGCAAAGACAAUCAGGAAAAACAUUACACUUAUAAAGCAGAAACAAAACUGACCCAGUCUACUUCUACAUAAAGCAAAACAACAGAAAAACACAUUUACACAGCAUACACAAUUACGCAAGUUGUAAACUCAGAUAAAUUUUACUGUUUAAUGACAAUGUUCUGCAGGUGUGCAUAGUUAUUAGGCUUUAGGUAUGUCAGUGUUAAAAUAUUAAGAAAUGCAACCAAGCUUCCCAGUGUACUGAUUAUAAAAUAUAAAGUAAAUAUACAAGAGACGUAACAAUUAAUCAUAAUUAAUCCUUAGAAGGUUAAAAAUAAGCUAAACAUUUAUUUUUGUUUGUUUUAUUUUAAAUGUAUUUAUUUCUGUGUUGUCGAUAAACAACUAUUCGUUAAAAGGUCUAAAAUGUCUUCAAAUCUUUUAUUUUUUUUUGUCGGAAAUUAUUUCAGACUUUCGUAAACUCCCAGUAACGCUACUACCCCCUAGUGCCCCAUUAGGGAAAAUUCGACCAUAUCGAAAUCCAUUAUGAYUGCAUUUUAUGAUCCAUAAUUAUCAUAUAAAAUAACAAAUUUAUUUAAUUUAUGUUUCUUUUUUAUCUCUAUACCCCUAAUUUCAAUUUCUAUAUUUGCACAAUAGGUGGUGCUCCACUUUGACCAAGGAGGGAAGCUUUAAAACCACCGACCAGCCUCCUGCAGUUUACCUGGAAAAGGGAUGUCCAAGUUGCUCUCAAAUCUGGAUUCUUAUCUCAGGUGAAAAAAUGUUUUAGUUCAAAACAUUUUUAAAAAAAAUUAAAAUAAACUCCAUGGUCGACUCAUGUGAGCUUUACUAAAAACAGGACCUCCUCUCCAGAUAACAGAUCGGGCAGGUGCAGGGGUGUGGAAGAUCUUCCCAAAACGCCAAACUGGAAUUUUUACAACUAUGCCAAAAAACCAUUUGGGUGUCUUAAGGUGGAAAACUGUCUUUCUCCCACAAAAAACUUCCAUAAAUUAAAGAAAUUGUCUAAUUAAAAAUGUAUAAUAAAUUGUGGAUGUUUUGUAAAACUAAUGGCUCUUAAUUAAAAAAAGAAAUUUAAAUUUUUUGUUUUAAUUCGAGGCUGCGAUAGCUUUUAAAGUCUAAUUUAUUGUAGACUAAAACAUAAAAAAUGUUUUUUUUUUAUCAGCAGUUAUGUAAUGUGGUCAAUUUUUCCUUUAAGGAACACUUAUUAUCAUAAAGUUAAAGGACUUUCUGAGGGUUAAAUACUCCAUCGUUCAUUUUAGCCAAGUAAUAUUUCACUAACUGCCACAGCCCCAUUUGGAUUCCGUCAGCUUCUGUUAAAGUUCGACUGAAGCAGCAGCCUCUGCCUCUGAACUCAUGUUCAAAGAGGCGUCAUGUUUGAGUCGGGCCCACCAUCCUUCAAUGGGAUCUGUAUCCUGUGAGGAAAGUGGGGAAAGCGUCGUUCAUUAUUCAWCAUUUUUUGCUGUCUAACCAUGCAUGGGAGUUCUUAGACGGAUCUGGUUCAGCAGCACUGUCAUGCAGAAAGAUCACGGCCUGCUUGAAUUUUGCAGAUUUUCGCUGCAGAGAGGAGAGGAUCUCCCAGCAACCAGCAUCGGGUUCAAGACUUUACAUUCAGCACAUCUCCAGUCUGAAAGGGUCUAAAUAGCUUGGCCUUAAUGAUGGCGGCCCCCCUCCUUCAUCUUUUGUGGGCCCUGAUUUGAAGMGAUGCCCCGAGUCCAUUAGUGAUCCUGAAGCAGAUGCAUCCAUCUGCUCCUUGAAGACUCCCUCUCACUUCAUCUGUCCGUAAGAACCGCUCUCAGCACCGGGGCCUUAUGUCAACUCUUCAAAGUCUCAUUCUGUGGUGGUCAGUUUUAGCCCUCUUCACUCCGAGAACGUCUCAAAGCACCAGAAAACUCAUUCCUGGCACUCCCUGUGUACCACUUGCACCCAUUUUCCUCAAUAUGAUGUUUUUUCGCUAUUCUACUAAAAGUUGCUAUUUGUGACAUGAAAACAUCUAAUUGCUUAAAAAAACUGUUUAUUACAUUUUUCACUUUACGUCACCAUUUUGUUACUGAUGCACUGUAUUCUGAGGAUGAUGAUGGUUUAAAGUUGAGACCACAGAGUCGAGGCWAAAAAGCUACAUUUUGUGUGAAAAUAAAUUUAUUUUCUGUAUUAGUUUUUAUGUUCUGUACAUUAUUGAAACAAUUAAACAUUUAAUAAAUUUGUUUUGGAGCUAGAAGCUCACAUGACAUAAACAUUACUAAUAUAUUUGUAGCAUUAGCUAACGUGAAAGCUAAAAGGUUAAAGCUGAGGUGAAGCAGUUCCGUCCACAGUUUCAGUUGCAGACUGAGUCCUUUCUACCUUCUCCUCUCUGUCAACGCUCUCUGGUUUCAUUUAAAAGGGAUGAAUGUCAGACAUUGUUCAACAUUAACCUUCAAGCUACACCUUGUAGCCGUCAACAUUUACUCAGAAUGCUUUGCGGCAUAAAAAACAUGGCAACGUCUGAGUAACGAUACAUUUUUAAAAUAAAACUAAACAUUUUUAUAGUUGAAUAAUUUUCAUAAAAUAUUCUCUAAUGCUACAACUAGUUAAAUUUGAUGUUGGAUGUUUUUGAGGUGUUUCAAACAGUGCACCUGCCAUCAUUUUAUUUAUUUUCAUUUUUUUGUUGAGUUUUGUUUCAUUUAUUGAAGCUGCCCAAUAAUUAUGCACACAUGAUGUUAGACACAGUUUAGGCCUCAUGGUCCCAGAUAAUCACUCAACUCAGCGAGUGAUUCAACUUUAUUUGAAUUUGGGGUUGAUAAAGAUGGACAGAAAUGAGGAUGAAGUCAGAAUUUUCACCUGACAAAUAAUUGUGCAUGAAGUGCCCCUGAGACAUUUUUAUCAAGAUGUUUGUAAAAAAAA